GCGAACGCUGGCGGCAGGCUUAACACAUGCAAGUCGAGCGGGCGUAGCAAUACGUCAGCGGCAGACGGGUGAGUAACGCGUGGGAACAUACCUCUUGGUUCGGAACAACACAGGGAAACUUGUGCUAAUACCGGAUAAGCCCUUACGGGAAGGAUUAUCGCCGAGAGAUUGGCCCGCGUCUGAUUAGCUAGUUGGUGAGGUAACGGCUCACCAAGGCGACGAUCAGAGCUGGUCUGAGAGGAUGAUCAGCCACAUUGGG
rnacentral:rRNA from 1 species